UCACUACUGAUUUUCUGAAAGAGGACAGGUCACGUAUAUUGUUUCAAUAUCUUAUAUUAUCUUUAUUAUUAAUAUGAUUUGCAAAUAUAUACAUUGAAUCAUAUUAUACUGUGUACUUUUAUUUUGGCAGACAUAUUCUAAUAUUGGUAGAGUUGCACGAGCAUCUCAAGCAGUUCCUCACACUUCAGGCUCGAAGAGUUAUGCGAGACGUAGAAAUGAAUUCGUAAGUUCUUUUGAAACUAUUUGAAACUCUACUAACAUAUAGCA
rnacentral:lncRNA from 1 species